GCCUGGGUGGCUCAGUCGGUUGAGCAUCCGACUUCAGCUCAGGUCAUGAUCUCAAAGUUCGUGGGUUUGAGCCCCGCAUCGGGCU
rnacentral:tRNA from 1 species